rnacentral:misc_RNA from 1 species
CAUUAUUUCACAUAAUCACAAUUACCACAUAACAUGAACUAAACCACAACAGCAAAACCAAAAAACCAAAAACUACUGUCAUCGCAUCUUUGUUUUAUCAACCAAAGAAAAGCGAAUUGUUGAGUUACAUGACAAGAAAAGUAACAGAAUCGAGGAUAAUAAAUAUUCAAGUCAGACGAGAAAAAAAUAUACAAAGAAAAAGCCCCAAGUCCUUAGCAACCACAAGGUCAAAUGGUAUUCCAUGAACUCCAACACUCAGACGAGUAAUUUUGGCUUUUACCAUCAUUUGGAAAGCAACCAUUAUGCUUCUAUCUAGUGACACUCAUGAGGAGAACAAUCAAUGACAGCAUGCGGGGAUGUUGAAAAUCAAGUUCAGUUAUCAAACCAUCGCAACGAAAUUUUCUGGAGGAACUACCACUGAAACAAUUUUGGGCAGAAUUAUCUUAGAACCAUUCCCUGAUUGCCCAUCAUAUAUAGCCACUUGUCUUGUACUAUAAAAUGGUGAAAAACAUUCUUGGAUUUCUUCCAUAUAUACUUGAAGCCAUUCACCUUUUCGAAGCAGCUAGCGGAAAUGCAAAGGUUGUAGGUAGGACAGAAGCGCUUUGUUGCAGAAGAAUGCAGUAAAAGGUGUCAUACACAACCAAGUUUUCGAACGUUCAUUAUUUCAACAUGUGCUUCAAGCUGAAUAAUAUGCAGGGUCGGAGGUAGAAUAAAACACAAGCUCUGUUGCAGAAGAAUGCAGUAAAAG